UUGAACUAUACCUAACUCGAAUGUAAAAUAUUAUGACGGUCAAGACCUCGUCCUUUCUUUCUUUCCAUUGCGUUUGAGAGGGUGUAGCGGGGAAUUACUGUGAUCGAUGAAUGCCUCUCCCCUCAUCCCACCUAACUCGCACACUUGACAAACAAACCCGAA
rnacentral:sRNA from 1 species